rnacentral:tRNA from 4 species
GGCCUCAUAGCUCAGGGGACAGAGCACCGCUCUCCUAAAGCGGGUGUCGCAGGUUCGAAUCCUGCUGGGGCCA